rnacentral:rRNA from 1 species
ANCUGANNNGCCAUGCCGCGUGUGUGAAGAAGGUCUUCGGAUUGUAAAGCACUUUAAGUUGGGAGGAAGGGCAGUAAGUUAAUACCUUGCUGUUUUGACGUUACCGACAGAAUAAGCACCGGCUAACUCUGUGCCAGCAGCCGCGGUAAUACAGAGGGUGCAAGCGUUAAUCGGAAUUACUGGGCGUAAAGCGCGCGUAGGUGGUUCGUUAAGUUGGAUGUGAAAGCCCCGGGCUCAACCUGGGAACUGCAUCCAAAACUGGCGAGCUAGAGUAUGGUAGAGGGUGGUGGAAUUUCCUGUGUAGCGGUGAAAUGCGUAGAUAUAGGAAGGAACACCAGUGGCGAAGGCGACCACCUGGACUGAUACUGACACUGAGGUGCGAAAGCGUGGGGAGCAAACAGGAUUAGAAACCCUUGUAGUCCAGACCAAGUCUNNGCCUACCGUA